rnacentral:sRNA from 1 species
GCCAGGUGUAGUGCUGCACACCUGCAAUCCCAGUCGCUUGGGAGGCUGAGGCAGGAGGAUCGCAAGUUCAAAGUCAGCCUCAGCAAUUUUGUGAAGCUCUAAGAAACUUAGUGAGACCCUGUCUCAA